AGUGGCGGACGGGUGAGUAACACGUGGGAACGUGCCUUUAGGUUCGGAAUAACUCAGGGAAACUUGUGCUAAUACCGAAUGUGCCCUUCGGGGGAAAGAUUUAUCGCCUUUAGAGCGGCCCGCGUCUGAUUAGCUAGUUGGUGAGGUAAAGGCUCACCAAGGCGACGAUCAGUAGCUGGUCUGAGAGGAUGAUCAGCCACAUUGGGACUGAGACACGGCCCAAACUCCUACGGGAGGCAGCAGUGGGGGAAUCUUGCGCAAUGGGCGAAAGCCUGACGCAGCCAUGCCGCGUGAAUGAUGAAGGUCUUAGGAUUGUAAAAUUCUUUCACCGGGGACGAUAAUGACGGUACCCGGAGAAGAAGCCCCGGCUAACUUCGUGCCAGCAGCCGCGGUAAUAC
rnacentral:rRNA from 1 species